GUGAGUGUAAAACAAAACAAAACCCGCUCGUACUCGCGGAAGAUAAGAUCACAGUGAGAGAAGGUUUUCGGGUGAGGCAACAGGGAAUGGCUUCAUCAUCUGCGGCAGCGACUCUCUCAUGGCUUCACAGUUUUGGUGGAAGCCCUAGAGAAACCACAAAAUUAUCUGAUAAAAGAACGGUCAUAGCGGUUGUGGCUCAAAAGAAAGCUAAGAAGUCUCGAAAGAUAAUUUUAAAAGAGGAUGUGCCAGACCUUGGAAGUAAAGGGCAGCUUCUUGAUGUGAAGCCUGGGUACUUCAGGAACUAUCUUCAUCCCAUGGGCAAGGCCCAGAUGGUCACACCACUUUUGCUCAAGGAGAUGCGGAUGGAAGAAGAAAGAAUCGAGGCUGAGAAAAAACGGGUAAAAGAAGAGGCACAACAACUUGCUUUAAUGUUUCAAACUUUUGGAGUUUUCAAGGUGAAGCGCAAAGGUGGAAAAGGAAAACAAAUAUUUGGAACUGUAACUCCGCAAGAUCUUGUUGACAUUAUCAAGGCACAGCUUCAGAGGGAUGUGGACAAGCGGAUUGUUUUCCUUCCGGAGAUUCGAGAAACUGGAGAUUAUAUAGCAGAACUAAAACUUCAUCCAGAAGUUUCUGCGCAAAUUAAAGUGUAUGUCUAUGCUAACUAAAGGACCGGGUACUUUUUGAAGUUCUGCUUUCUGAAUGGACAGCUUCUGGGAGAACUUUCAUCCUUGUGAGGAGCAUGGUAUGCGUUUUUCAAAUUCAUGGUGAUGCCAGUUGAAAUGUGACGAACAUGUUUGUAACAUAUCUAUUUGGAGAUGUACAAAUCUCUCCCUUGGCUACGAUGAUUUUGUUGUUUAUUCUCUCCCCUAUAGGGCAAAGUGCAUCCCUUAGAAUUAUUCUCGUCAUCCAUGUUUGCUGCUUUGAAAAAGAGUUUUUAAUGAUUUAACAUUGAAUGAUAGUGUUAUAAUCUCACUUACUGAGCUAUAAUGUUGAAACUUUCAAAUGAUGACACUGCAACGUUGGAUUUUCCAUUGCUGAAGCAAUGUCCA